rnacentral:rRNA from 1 species
UACAUAGGGUGCGAGCGUUAAUCGGAAUUACUGGGCGUAAAGCGUGCGUAGACGGUCAUGUAAGUCGGGGGUGAAAGCCCCGGGCUCAACCUGGGAAUUGCAUUCGAGACUGCAUGGCUAGGAUGCGGAAGAGGGAAGCGGAAUUUCCGGUGUAGCGGUGAAAUGCGUAGAUAUCGGAAGGAACACCAGUGGCGAAAGCGGCUUCCUGGUCCAGCAUCGACGUUCAGGCACGAAAGCGUGGGGAGCAAACAGG